rnacentral:rRNA from 1 species
CCUACGGGGGUCAGCAGUGGGGAAUAUUGGACAAUGGGGGCAACCCUGAUCCAGCCAUGCCGCGUGUGUGAAGAAGGCCCUCGGGUUGUAAAGCACUUUCAGUGAGGAAGAACGCCUGGUGGUUAAUACCCAUCAGGAAAGACAUCACUCACAGAAGAAGCACCGGCUAACUCCGUGCCAGCAGCCGCGGUAAUACGGAGGGUGCGAGCGUUAAUCGGAAUUACUGGGCGUAAAGCGCGCGUAGGUGGCUUGAUAAGCCGGUUGUGAAAGCCCCGGGCUCAACCUGGGAACGGCAUCCGGAACUGUCAAGCUAGAGUGCAGGAGAGGAAGGUAGAAUUCCCGGUGUAGCGGUGAAAUGCGUAGAGAUCGGGAGGAAUACCAGUGGCGAAGGCGGCCUUCUGGACUGACACUGACACUGAGGUGCGAAAGCGUGGGUAGCAAACAGGAUUAGAUACCCCUGUAGUC